rnacentral:lncRNA from 12 species
CGUCAUUAUACCAAUCAGAAUUUAAAGGAAAAGAAGGCAAUUUCCUCAGCAAGUUUAUUGAAUCUGAAAGAUUUUCUUAUCUAUAUUCAGUACAUCAGAUUUUCUUCUCAUUUUUAAAGCUGCGAGUGGGUGAAAAUACUAUUCUUGCUACCUUAGUUGCCAACCAAUGAUACAUUUCUUUGAGGAGAAAACCAAUUAGUAGUUAUUCUUAUUCUGUGGUUGGAUGGAUGUAAGAGUACUUUCAUAUAGAAAAAAAAAAAAGUGCACUAUUAGCCAAUAAUAGAUUUCUCCUUUUACUUAAGGUAGUUCCUGAUCAUAAUCUCUCUCCUUACUUGAGUUUGAUUUCUAGCUUUGUGCAUUUCACUUCUUUUAAACCAGUAAUAUUGAAUCAGAGGAUUGUAAAGGUUUAGGGAGAAAACUAGAAAACUAGCCCAAGAAGGACAACUGGAAUAGGUGCCGCUGAAGAGAUAGCAUGAUUUUCUCUAUCAAAGCAAAUAAUGGAGGUGGACAUUUCUUCAUCUCCACUGAUUAUAGAACCUUCAGGAUCCUGAAUCAGUAUCAAAGAGGCAUUCAUAGGUAGGCUCCCUUCGCCUGAAUAUUUUAAAAUGAAUACUUGCCAAUGCUUUCAUGUGGGGCUGUGAAAAGUUAUGCAUUCACUACUUAAAAUGUUGUCUUGUAUAGAAUGGCAUUUAUAUAGGUAGGAAACAUGGUGUUUUGACAUAGUGCAAAAAUAGUUGCUUCUGAAGGAGUGGGUUCCUUAGGAAUUUUGUGGACAGCGGAAUUUCUUUAGGACUGAUGGAUUGUUUUUAAUCAUUUUAGUUUUCUGCUUUUGUAACUCCUGCAGCUCCAUUUUUCAGAAUUCAUUUAGUUUUACAUUAG